rnacentral:tRNA from 2 species
CAGAUUACUCCAAUUAGUUGGGUGUUUCAUUUACACUGAAGCUUUAGAUCGUGCAAUUCGAUAUUGUCUGA